rnacentral:rRNA from 1 species
AUGAGCAGUAUAGGUAUAGUUCAGUCUGCUGUGAAGAAGGUCCAACAAGUAGGGGUCGAUUUCGUGCAGGUCCAGGUGAUCGCCUCCGCGGUGCUCGCCAUUCUGGUGGUGGCGCUUAGCGCGUAUGGCCGUCGCUGCCGCCACCCGGCACUCCGCCUCAUCAUCUCCGGCGCCUCCAUCGCCUUCAUACCGCUCACGUCCUCCGCCAUCAACGCCUUGCUGGGGCAGAGGAAGAUGCUCAAGCUGUUGAAAGAGUGCGAAGACCCGACUUGCAAAGGCGGCAAGUACAGCCCAGAGGUCCAGACCAUGUGGACGCUCCUCCUGUGGAGCGUCCUCAUCCUCAUCAUCAAGGGCAAUGCCGACACGGCCGCGGCCUCCGCUGCCGCCGCCUCCGCCUCGCCUUCCUCGGGCGACGUCGGUGUCGACGGCCAGAAGGUCCGGACCCCAGUGGAGCUACUGGCUACGUAUGCCGUGGUGGUGUGGCUCAUCGUGGAGUGCAUUCCUGAGGCGGAAUGGUUGAAGUUUGAGGGAAAGGCAAUUUUCGUCGUCUUCUUCCUGCUCGGCUUUGCCAAGGUGGUGCUCAAGCUGGUCGCCUUCCUCAUGGCGAGCAACUCCUACGCCAUCGGCAAGAACGCCCGGCUUGUCUCCGGCUACAUGGCGCAGCUGGUCGAGGAGGGCGCCGAGGAUGGCCAUGGCCAUGUGCCUCCUUAUCUGGUUGUAGGGGAGAGCAAGGAGCACGUCGAGGAAAAGCCCCAAGGGUACCGCAUCAAGCGCGAAAGCGACCCCGUCAAGAAAAACAAGGACAAGCUCGGCGCUCUCAUCACGCUCGACCGGGUGUGGACACUGUCCGAUCACGGCGACGGUUUCCUCGCCAAGAAGCUGGAGCUAAGGGAUCUCUGUCUCUCAUUCUCCCUCUUCAAGAGUCUCCGGCGUCGCCUCUCAGGGUACCCGUUGACCGAGGAAGGAUCCAGCAAUGCUCUCGACUUCGUGCUCAGGGGCAUGGACACUGCGGCCGGCGACGGCAAAGCAGGCGUGGAUGCCAAGCGGGUGUUCCGAGUCCUUGUGGACGAGCUCUGGUUCGCAAGUGAUUUCUACUACUCGCCGCUCCCGCUGUGCUCCUUCAGUGGGUGGUGCGCCGCCCUCAACUAUCUCCUGUCGGUCCUCAUCAUCGCCGGAGCUAUUGGAGUGGGAGUGCUUUAUCAAAUCAAAAGGGUGAUCGUUGUCGGUCCCGACCGGGCCAAAGAGAACCCAGCUAAGGGUCCAGAAUUGUACCAGGUAGCCUACUACUUCAUCACCUUGUUCCUCCUACUCGCCGCCGUGCUCACCGAAGCGUGUGAGAUCAUCGCCGGCGUGUGCUCCAACUGGACCAAGAUGGCGUUGAUCGGCCAUUACAUCAGAAGUGGCACGCUCGGUCGUUGGACCAACGCGGCCCUGGACACGGUGCUGCGUUUCAGGCCCGCGAAGCGCUGGAGCGACAAGAUCGGGCAGACCUCGGUGCUCGAGCCCCGCCGAUUCGGGCGACGGUCGGGGCUUUUCUCGGAGAAGCUGUAUGGGCGCGCAGGGCUUAUGAGGUCGGUGGAACUCUCCCAGGCCGUUAAGGACGCGGUGCUCAGGUCCUUGAAGAGUAGCUAUGGGGGACUGGACAAAGGAAGCACCCUCGCCGCGCACCGGGUAGGCCUCGGCGGCAAGGUUGACAGCUGGGCGUGGCCGGCCAUCGGUGCCGGAAGCGGCAGCGGCACCAGCAGCACCACGGAGCAUAUCCUCGCUUGCCACAUCGGCGCGAGGCUCUUCGAGAUCAAGUACUCGAACGCGGCGUGUCCAACGUUGGCGGCGGCCGACAUGACAGCCGCCUGCCAUUUGUCUUACUACUGCGCGUACCUGGUGGCGGCCUCGCCGGGGCUGCUGCCGGACAGUCCGGCGUGGACCGACAAGCGGUACAAGGAAGUGGUGGCGGACGUGAAGGCGGCGCUGGGAAAGGACGACGACGGCGCCAGCGAGUCGACGGCGCAAAGGUACGAGCGGCUGCUCAAGGAGCUGAGCGCGACCAGCAGGGACGAGGUGCUGCAGCGCGGCGCCGAGCUUGGGAGCCGCCUGGUGGAGGCGUACGCCGAGGAUGAGGCGGCGGCAUGGCGGUUCCUGGCGGAUUUCUGGUCGGAGAUGGUGCUCUUCGUCGCACCGUCGAAGAACGUCAAGGGCCACGUCGAGGCCAUGGGGCGCGGCGGGGAGUUCGUCACCCUCGUCUGGGCGCUGCUCAUGCACGCCGGUGUCACGGACAGGCCUGGGACAGCUGACGGUACUGGCGUCCCGUAA